GCCUGGGGGGCUAAGUCGGUUAAGCAUCUGACUUUGGCUCAGGUCAUGAGCUCACGGUUCGCGGGUUUGAGCCCCGUAUCAGGCU
rnacentral:tRNA from 1 species